GAGUUUGAUCCUGGCUCAGAUUGAACGCUGGCGGCAUGCCUUACACAUGCAAGUCGAACGGCAGCACGGGAGCUUGCUCCUGGUGGCGAGUGGCGAACGGGUGAGUAAUGCAUCGGAACGUAUCCUGGAGUGGGGGAUAACGUAGCGAAAGUUACGCUAAUACCGCAUAUUCUGUGAGCAGGAAAGCGGGGGACCUUCGGGCCUCGCGCUCUUGGAGCGGCCGAUGUCGGAUUAGCUAGUUGGUGAGGUAAAGGCUCACCAAGGCGACGAUCCGUAGCAGGUCUGAGAGGAUGAUCUGCCACACUGGAACUGAGACACGGUCCAGACUCCUACGGGAGGCAGCAGUGGGGAAUUUUGGACAAUGGGGGCAACCCUGAUCCAGCCAUGCCGCGUGAGUGAAGAAGGCCUUCGG
rnacentral:rRNA from 1 species